UUAUAAAUUUAAGUCACUUAUCUAGAUUGGUUAUUAUGGAUUCGGUUGGAAUAGAGUUCCUCUGGCAAUUGGCCUCUGCUUCUCCACGUGAUCAGUUGGAAGUCUCAUCUAUUAGUCCACUUUGUGGUCUCAAAAGGCUACGCCUCUCCAAGUUGCCAAAUCUGGUUGGUCUAUUUUACGGAGAAUCAAAACCAUAUUUGUUUCUAGCUGGCACCUUUUCUUCCCUUCAAAUAUUGGAGAUUUCUGAAUGUCACAACAUGAAGCAGCUAUUCACAGUGCAGCUGCUGCAGAACCUUCAAAAUCUUGAAACAUUAAUAGUUGAAGACUGUGGAGGACUGGAGGAGAUAGCAGCAGAUGGCAAUGGAGUAGGACAAGGAGGAGGAGAAGGCACCCAAUUGACUUCAAGUGAAGGAGCCACCGCCACUGUCAUCCUUCCGAAAUUGAGGUGGUUGCGUCUGGAUAACCUGCCACAACUGAAGAACAUUUGCAAGGCAGCCAUGAUCUACAAAUCAAUUGAGGAGAUCAGAAUAUUUAAUUGUCCAAAUUUAAAGAGGCUGCCUUUGUUUCUUUCCACCAUCGACGGACCACCAUCUCUUCCCAGCACUCUUAGUGAAAUCAGGGGAGAUGAAGAAUGGUGGGAAUCACUAGAGUGGGACAAUCCUUGUGCCAAAAAUGCCCUUGACCCAUUUUUUUCCACGCUGUGAUGGGGUAAUUGAAGAUCACUUGUUUGAUCAAAAUCCUGACUGGCUCUCAUGUAGCCACCAAACUGCUGCUGCAAGAGAGUGAUACUUCUUCCUUAGCACAUGUGUAGCUUUCUAUUCCUACCUAGAUGAAAUUUUUCCUAAACUUGAUUGUAACUGGAGCAGUGAUACAGUUUUCUGUGACUAUUCCUUGAUUAUCAACAAAAAUGUUUUGGGGUAUUAUGACAAAAUUUUUGGUCAUAUUGUACUCCAAGAAUGUUUUCUCA